UUUGCUUGACUCUGAGCUCUCCUCUUUGACCAACUUCUCAGUUUCUUCAACUUGAGACUUUCCCUUGUCCUUGACAGUAUCCUCUAGAGAUGCAACUAGAGCCACAGAUGAAUGCCCUUUCUUUUGGCUUUUCUCAAUUUCUUCAUCUUGCUCCAUUUCAAGCUCAUAAGUCUUUAAGGUUCCAUACAGUCUCUCUAGAGUAUAGUCUUUAAAUUCUUGUGUAUUUCUGAGAGAGACUGUCAUGGGUUUCCAUUCUUUGGGAAGAGCUCUUAAGAAUUUCAAGUUUGAAUCCUUAA
rnacentral:lncRNA from 1 species